UGAAAAUGAUGUUUCCCAUGCUGGGAGAGUCUAGGACAAGAGGGCACGGCCUAGGAUAGAGGGGUGCCCUUUCAAAACAGAGAUGCAGAGGAAUUUCUUUAGACAAAGUGUGGUGAAUUUGUGGAAUUUGUUGCUAGAUGCAGCUGUGGAGGCCAGGUCAUUGGGUAUACUUAAGGCAGAGAUUGGGCCUAGCAUCAGAGGUUACAGGGAGAAGGCCGGGAACUGGGGUUGAGGAGGAGAUAAAAAAAGGAUCAGCCAUGAUUGAAUGGUGGAGCAGACUCGAUGGGCCAGAUGACUUAAUUCUGCUCCUAUGUCUUAUGGUCUUAUGGCCUUAAUGACUGAAGCAAUUGAGGAAUGUUUUCCCAAGGACAUUAGGUUACUGGCCUUCUAUGAGACAAUGGCUGGAUGUGCAAGCUGGUCUAUAUGAUACUAACUGGACCUUCCCUGAAACUGAGUUCAUCCAUCAAGCUGCAGUCUUUGUUCUUGAUAAGAUUGGUCCUCAUGUGCUUUGCCUUUGUUGACCGUGAGCCCUCUCAGCUUCCUAGAUCUGGGAUCUUUUCAAGCUGCUCCUGUUGGUCUCUGACAUGUGCAAGGGUUUGCUACACACUGCUGUCGUACUGAGGUCGUGCAAACUGCAUAAUCACAGAGAGACAUCUUUGCACACUUCUCCUUCAGCCGACAGGAGUACAGUGAGCUCCAGCUAUGGGCAGGCAUUCAUAGCCUUGGAGAGAGCUUCCAAGUGUCUUCUGACAAAAGGCACUAGUCUAGGAUCUUGGCCCCCAGUCACCUAAAGACAAGGUUUGUCAGGUUUCUCAUCACCCUGCAAAUACUCUCCUACAAUCUUCCAUUCUUUCAGCAUCCAUUCAUUCAAUAGCAAUGUUCAUCUGUGUUUAAAUGUGUGUUCUGGUAAACAACAGUACUAAUAGCAUCCAUUUGAAAUAUGAGAGGAUCCUGCCAUGUUACUGUUGAUGGGGAGGACUGUGAGAGUUGAAAUCAACACUUUUACCCGGGUACUCCUCCCAAUAUUUUCAAGGAAGAUGUUGGUGAAAUAUGUACUAUGGUAUCUUUUUUUUACGUGUAGACUUAAUUUAUCCCCUUUGUUUUGAGUAACACAGAAUGUGUGUCCCUGGUGUGGAGCCUUCUAUUCUGAAUGAGGAAACUGCAGGUGUCCUCUCAUCAUCAUCUGACUGUUGGAGACUUCCUGAUAGAUGAAGGUACAGGAAGAUUCCUGCAGCAUGGUGUGUACAUUGAUUCCCGACUUCUGAAAUUUAUCUUCCUGAUAUUCCUAAGCACCAAGAGACCUUAUCCUACCCAUGCCGAUCUUAUAACUAGUUCCACUUCAUGUAUUAAACUGCCUUUCAGGUAUCUACUAAUGAGCUAUGUUUUUUAAAGCCAUCCUCUCUCAUUCAAAAUAGUCAAAUGCAACACCUUCUUAAUCAGAUCUGUGAAAAAAUGUGAAGAUGCUACCCCAGGCUUCGGAAGGCAGACUUCAGUGUGUGCCCUCCUCUAUGAGCAAUAUUAAACAUUUUCUUACUCUUGUGCAGGUUUAAAAGACUGAGGGAGAAACAGUGAUUAGUAAGUGACUGACAGCCUGCGAUGGAUUACAGGAAUGUGAUGCUUCAUUUCUCCAUUGAUUGCUGCACAGAGGGAGGAUAAUAUGAAACAACCAAGCUAAUCAAUGGCUCAAGUCCUCCAGCAUAGGGCAGGAGGCAUCAAUGGAGAAGAAAAGAGACAGGAACAACUGGGGACAAAAGUAAUCCUGAAAUAGACCCAAGACAUUGACGAUCUCUUUACCUGCUCGAUGCUGCCUGACCCACGGAAUUCCUCCAGUGCUUUGGUUUUCUUGAACUCCAGAUUACAUCAUGUGCAGUCUGUUGUGUCUUGUCUGAUUGCCCGCCAUCUCCUGCAUUAGGGAUAACUUACAGUCAACUAGUCUACCAGCAUAUGCUUACAAAAGGUUCAGGGAGCUAGAAGAUUAUAAGACUAACAGGAAGGAGCUUAAGAAGGAAAUUAGGAGAGCCAGAAGGGGCCAUGAGAAGGCAGGGAGGAUUAAAGAAAACCCAAAGGCAUUCUACAAGUAUACGAAGAGCAAGAAGAUAAGACAUGAAAGAAUAGGAAAGUGUGUACGGAACCGGAGGAAACAGCAAAGGUACUUAAUGAAUACUUUACUUCAGUAUUCACUAUGGAAAAGGGUUUUGGUGAUUGUCGUGAUGACUUGCAGCAGACUGAAAAGCUUGAGCAUGUCGAUAUUAAUAAAGAGGAUGUGCUGGAGCUUUUGGAAAGCAUCAAAUUGGAUAAGUUGCCUGGACUGAAUGAGAUGUACCCCAGGCCACUGUGCGAGGUGAGGGAGGAGAUUGCUGAGCCUCUGGUGAUGAUCUUUGCAUCAUCAAUAAGGACUGGACAGGUUCUGAGGGAUUGGAGGGUUGCAGAUGUUGUUCCCUUAUUCAAGAAAGGGAGUAGGGAUAGCCCAGGAAAUUAUAGACCAGUGAGUCUUACUUCAGUGGUUGGUAAGUUGAUGGAGAAGAUCCUGAGAGGCAGGAUUUAUGAACAUUUGCAGAGGUAUAAUAUGAUUGGGAAUAAUCAGCAUGGCUUUGUCAAGGGCAGGCUGUGCCUUACGAGCCUGACUGAAUUUUUUGAGGAUGUGACUAAACACAUUGAUGAAGGAAGAGCAGUAGAUGUAGUGUAUAUGGAUUUCAGCAAGGCAUUUGAUAAGGUACCCCAUGCAAGGCUUAUUGAGAAAGUAAGGAGGCAUGGGAUCCAAGGGGACAUUGCUUUGUGGAUCCAGAACUGGCUUGCCCACAGAAGGCAAAGUGUGGUUGUAGAUGGGACAUAUUCUGCAUGGAGGUCGGUGACCAGUGGUGUGCCUCAGGGAUCUGUUCUGGGACCUUCACUAUUCGUGAUUUUUAUAAAUGAUCUGGAUGAGGUGGUGGAGGGAUAGGUUAGUAAGUUUGCUGAUGACACAAAGGUUGGAGGUGUUGUGGAUAGUGUGGAGGGCUGUCAGAGGUUACAGUGGGACAUUGAUAGGAUGCAAACCUGGGCUGAGAAGUAGCAGAUGGAGUUCAACCCUGAUAAGUGUGAAGUGGUUCAUUUUGGUAGGUCAAAUAUGAUGGCAGAAUAUAGUAUUAAUGUUAAGAUUCUUGGCAGUGUGCAGGAUCAGAGGGAUCUUGGGGUCCGAGUCCAUAAGACACUCAAAGCAGCUGUGCAGGUUGACUCUGUGGUUAAGAAGGCAUACGGUGUAUUGGCCUUCAUCAAUCGUGCAAUUGAAUUUAGGAGCCGAGAGGUAAUAUUGCAGCUAUAUAGGACCCUGGUCAGACCCCAGCUCAGAUCUGUUCGCCUCACUACAGGAAGGAUGUGGAAGCCAUAGAAAGGGCGCAGAAGAGAUUUACAAGGAUGUUGCUUGGAUUGGGGAGCAUGCCUUAUGAAAACAGGUUGAGUGAACUCGGCCUUUUCUCCUUGGAGCGAUGAGGAUGAGAGGUGACCUGAUAGAGGUAUAUAAGAUGAUGAGAGGCAUUGAUUGUGUGGAUAGUCAGAGACUUUUUCCCGGGGCUGAAAUGGCUACCACAAGAGGGCACAGGUAUAAGGUACUGGGAGUAGGUACAGAGGAGAUGUCAGGGUUAAGUUUUUUACACAGAGAGUGGUGAGUGCGUGGAAUGGGCAGCCGGCAACGGUGCUGGAGGUGGAUACGAUAGGGUAUUUUAAGAGACUUUUGAAUAGGUACAUGGAGCUUAGAAAAAUAGAGGGUUAUGGGUGACCCUAGGUAAUUUCUAAUGUAGGGACAUGUUCGGCACAACUUCAUGGGAUGUAGGGCCUGUAUUGUGUUGUAGGUUUUCUAUGUUUCUACGUUUCUAUAUCUUUAGAAUAAAACACACACCUUCAUGGGUAAAUAUGCAUACACCCCACAGAAAGCACUGGAGCCAGGAUCAGUUGUAACUAUGAGAUAGCAACUCUAGCGACUGUACCUGUAUUUCCUAAUUUAUUAGUUAAUUUGCAGUGUCCUAGAACUAUAAAAGCACUGUACAAUGAUCUUUCUCGUGUGGUCUUACUGUGCAACAGAAUGAACAGAAAGCAGGCUCCCCCUGCCACAAUGUGCAGAUUUGUAAUUUGCUGGGGUGUUGAAGGCUGACUGGAAGGAGCCCAAAAUGCUCCGACAAAUGUUGCCUGCACACACUGCAGGGCUGAGAUUUAGCAGAUUCAAAAUUUCUGUUGUAAAGACUAAUGUUUAAAAUCAAUGUGUCAAUGCACUGACAAGUAGAUGGGAAUCUUUGUGCUGCAAGGCUGUAGAAAUCCUAAUCCAUUUUAGUCAAUCAGCUUCAUUAAGAGUGAUUGGAAUAACAUCUCACUGAAAUGAACACUCGGUGAGUGCUGGGCAUGAUAGAAGCACUCAGAGAAUCUUGAUGCUUUUUUCCAUUACUACCAUUAGGGAGGAAGUACAGGAGCCUGAAGACCCACACUCAAUGCUUUGGAAUCUUCUUCUUUCCCUCUACCAUCAGAUUUCUCAAUGAUCCAUGAACCCAUGAACACAACCUCACUAUUCCUCUUUGGCGCUGUUUAUUAAUUGCUUUUUUCAUCAUAACAUACAGUAAGUUUUUAGGCCUUGCACUGUAUAGCCACUACAAAAUAACAACUUGCACCACAUAAUUCAGUGAUAAUAAAUCUGACUCUGAUUAUGAUUUUGUUUGAGGACAGGGGUUGUUUCCCAAGAUGACAGUGACUCGCUCUCUUUCACGGUGCACCUGAAGGAACAAUUCUGCUGUUCCUGGUCCAUUUCCGUUUCUGCCCCAUACCCUUCACUGAACUGCGUGUGUGAAGAGGACUCUUCUCCCAGCUCAAAGGGUUGAAGCCCGAUGUAUACACAUUCACGAGGCUUUUGAGAGUGCUCAGCUGUAGAAGAAAAUAAUGGCCGCCAGACGGCCUCAGUGAAAGUUCUAAUUUCCUCUUUCUGGAAGAAGGAGGCUAAUCCACUCUCAUGCUGUCUUUAUAGUUAAAGUUAUCUAGUCAAACUCCAUUUUUUAAGUUAAUUUCAUACUGCACUUUCUGAAAUGCUUAUUCCAUUUCCUUUAAAAUGACUAAAUCCCAGUCCAUCAGAAGGAAGAAUGGAGACACUUCCCUCAGAGGUAGCUGCUUUGAGGAGAUUGUAUUGAGGAGAGCAGUAAUAUUUAGCAUUAUGUUGCAGUCAUCUUUUUGGAGGCUUCCUGUCACAACUGAAGGAUAGAGUACGUCACUAAUGUUAUCGUCUUCCCACAACGAGUUCCCUUAUCUGGCUUUUUAAUGUACACAGAUCACUUGAAGACUUUGUCAUUCAGUCAGCUGGUACAUUUAAGGUUUCUUCAACACAAUAUUUGGAGCUCCACAGGCAGAUUUCUGAAUUAUGCAUGUUUCAUCCCAUUUGAUGAUGAGUAUUAACAUACGCCAUUUCGAUUGGUUCAUUAGCUGUUUCCAGAAUCUUCUUAUUAUUCACAUUUAUAUAUUCCAACAGAUUUUUAUACCAAGACAAAAGGAGCCCAGAACAGUUUGUGCACUCAGAAGGCUUGCUAGAGCUGCGUAGGAUGCAACAGCCCUUAGCAAUGUUGUGUAAGCUUCCUGCUACUCUAGGUUUUGUGUAUAAAAGGACAGGCACCGUAUACUUAAACACACACACAGCUUUACCUCCAUGACUAUCACUAUGGCACGGCUGGUGGAGGAUAUAAAGUAGGCCACAGCUCACAGGUUGAUGAUAAAAUGGAGAAUGGGCUGAAGUGGGAAUGUAGAGGGCUUGUUGUGAUGUAGAGGGGUUGAACUAGGUGUAUGAGCCAUUGGGUGAGGCAGCGUUAGGGAAAGGGGAUCAGGAACAACAUUGGACUUGCAGUCAGGUAGUGAUAUGAGUGUUGGGACACCAUCGGAUUUUGGGAGGAGAUGAGGGAGGGGAGUAUUCCCAGGUUUGGAGUUGAGGAAGAUUUGAGUGUUUAACUAGAUGACAUAGGUGGGUAUUACAGUCACAACUGCACGUUUGGCUGUUGCCCAGCUGGGCAGUUAGGCACAAACCAGGAGUUGGAACGUGUUGGAGAUGUGAUCAGACUGGGGUCCAGCAAAUGAUACAAUGAACAUGUGAGCUUGGAGCUAAAAGGCAUUGGCAGUGAAGCCACUUUCACACUGAGUAGCCCAAUCUGUCCAUAGCCCUUGAAUGUUGUACAAUUGAUGUCAAAAUUUAUGGAGGAUACUAACUUUUUAUGAUUGUAUUCUGGGCACUGUUUCCUUACUGUUGAUAUGUUUAUUUUGCAGUAUUAAUCUUCACUUAACUGUUGUUGUUUUUUGUUUGUAGUUGGUUUGUAGAAAUGCAUUAAAAAAUUAAUAAAAAAAGAUUUACAUUGCACAUCCUUCCACAUCACUGGCACUUUCUGUUUAGAGAUUUUUUAAAUUUAGAGUUUUUCUAAUUUAGAGAUUGGAUUUUAGACAGAAAUUUUGGGGCAAAUAAAAUAACGGUCUUGCAGUGUUUCUUGACACAAACUAAAAUUAUUACCAUAGGCAAGUGUGUCCGUCCAAAAGGACAUUGGGGAGGGUUGUCGAACAAAUGGACACAGAGGAUAAUAGGACAUAGUUACCUGAGACAGGAUGACGUGUGACAAGCUGGCCUUCAUCAGACAGGACACUGAGUACGGGAGUAGAGACAUUAUGUUGCAGUUAUAUAAGACAAUGAUGAGACCGCACACCAGGGAGGAUUGGAGUGCAAAGAAGAUUUACAAGAAUGUUGCAAAGGACUUAAGGGCCUAAAUUGUAGGAUGAGGUCUGGCAGGCUAGGAUUAUUCCGUGGAGUGUCAGAGUCCAAAGAAGACCCGGCAGAUGUGUAUAAAAAUAAGAUACUUGGGAAUCCACUCAAGAAAUAAGAAUCAAAAACUUGAACUUUCUCCCUUUUAAUAUAUCUCAAGAACCUCUUGGAAUUUUACCCUAAACUGCUUGCCAGGUUUUUCCUUUCCUUGUCCUGUGGAGUGGUGCGGGGUGGUGGUGGGGGGAGGCGUGGCUUAUUUUGAUUGUUGAAAGUCACUUCAGUCAAUGAUUGGUCAGUUUCAGAAACUGCAGCUGCUUUUCCUAUUAGUUAGCUGCCUGGCGACCAGUUUCUAAUAUCCUGGGUAUAAAAUAACACGUGGAGGAGACCUGCUCUGUCUUCCGUUUGUUUAAGGCAAGCGGAGCACAUCACCAUUGGGAAGAUCCAGAAUAAGGAUCAGCCAUGAUUGAAUGGCGGAGAAGACCUGAUGGGCCAGAUGACCUCAUUCUGCUCCUAUGAAUAAGUGAAGUUAAAUCAUGCCCAGUGUGUUUGGGAAUUCCAAAGAGAGUUAUUGGUACUCAAUUUUACACUAAACGGCUAUGGAAAUGGGGUCAUCCUUCAGGAUAGAGAGGAACUCCAGUUUGGUGGGUUCUCAGCUGGCCUAGGACUUCGACAUGGCAAUGGCAGACCCCUGCACAAGAUGGUGGAGUGGGGGGUUGGUGGUUGAUAGGAGAGUGAUUGGGUAAUCUGGGAGAUGUAAUGGGGAUAGGUUGGUAGAGGGGUUGGUCUUGUGGAUAUUGAGUGUAAGGUCCAUAUAGUUGUAUGCUUCAGUGAAUGAGUCAACAAAGACUUGCAAUGAGGCCUCUGAGUGAUCUGCAUACUACUGCUCAGUUACUGAGGUGUGAAUAACUUUAGUUCUGGAAUACAGUUGUUAUGGACUGAAUGCUUCUCCUUCAGCUCUGAAGAUUCCAUCCACCACUGCGUGACAUUUAUUGGAGUGAGAUGUAGCACUGAAUACGCAAGGGAAUCGGAGCAGAAUGUGCCGUCACAUUGAGAUGAUCACGGCCGAUCCGCACAAGCCUCAAGGCCUCUUAUGUAUGAGUUAUACAGAGCUCUCAAGAUCCUGAUCUUUCAAGAUUGUAGCUGUCUCCCUUUUUUAGGUGCCUCCUGUGAUCUAGUUGCUACAACAUAUUGGAGUAGAAAAUUGCCAAUAUUUGACACCCUCUGUAAGAUUUUCCGAUGUGCUUCUAUUGUAAGUGACCAGUCCAUUCUCUUGUAAUCAUGCCCUCCUUGGUCAAGAUUUCCUACAGGCGGAGGCACUGCAUUAUUCUCUGUCGUGCUUCAUGAGGAUCUUAUGUGUUUUGAAGAAAUGUUAGUCCUCUGAACAACAAAGAA